AGAUAAUAGAUACCCUGUAGUCCACGCCGUAAACGAUGAAUGUUAGCCGUCGGGCAGUUUACUGUUCGGUGGCGCAGCUAAACGCAUUAAACAUUCCGCCUGGGGAGUACGGUCGCAAGAUUAAAACUCAAAGGAAUUGACGGGGGCCCGCACAAGCGGUGGAGCAUGUGGUUUAAAUUCGAAGCAACGCGCAGAACCUUACCAGCCCUUGACAUCCCGAUCGCGGAUUACGGAGACGUUUUCCUUCAGUUCGGCUGGAUCGGAGACAGGUGCUGCAUGGCUGUCGUCAGCUCGUGUCGUGAGGUGUUGGGUUAAGUCCCGCAACGAGCGCAACCCUCGCCCUUACGUUGCCAGCAUUUAGUUGGGCACUCUAAGGGGACUGCCGGUGAUAAGCCGAGAGGAAGGUGGGGAUGACGUCAAGUCCUCAUGGCCCUUACGGGCUGGGCUACACACGUGCUACAAUGGUGGUGACAGUGGGCAGCGAGACCGCGAGGUCGAGCUAAUCUCCAAAAGCCAUCUCAGUUCGGAUUGCAC
rnacentral:rRNA from 1 species